UGCGUAGGGUGCGAGCGUUGUCCGGAAUUAUUGGGCGUAAAGAGCUUGUAGGCGGUCUGUCGCGUCUGCUGUGAAAAUCCGGGGCUCAACCCCGGACUUGCAGUGGGUACGGGCAGACUAGAGUGUGGUAGGGGAGACUGGAAUUCCUGGUGUAGCGGUGAAAUGCGCAGAUAUCAGGAGGAACACCGAUGGCGAAGGCAGGUCUCUGGGCCACUACUGACGCUGAGAAGCGAAAGCAUGGGGAGCGAACAGG
rnacentral:rRNA from 1 species